rnacentral:rRNA from 1 species
UACGGAGGGGGCUAGCGUUGUUCGGAAUUACUGGGCGUAAAGGGUGCGUAGGCGGCGUGUUAGGUCAGGCGUGAAAGCCCCGGGCUCAACCUGGGAACGGCGCUUGGGACUGGCAUGCUUGAGACCGGGAGGGGAUGGCGGAAUUCCCAGUGUAGAGGUGAAAUUCGUAGAUAUUGGGAAGAACACCGGUGGCGAAGGAGGCCAUCUGGACCGGGUAUGACGCUGAGGCACGAAAGCGUGGGGAGCAAACAGG